rnacentral:rRNA from 1 species
UACGGAGGGGGCUAGCGUUGUUCGGAAUUACUGGGCGUAAAGCGCACGUAGGCGGCUUUGCAAGUCAGAGGUGAAAGUCCGGGGCUCAACCCCGGAAUUGCCUUUGAGACUGCAUCGCUAGAAUUGUGGAGAGGUGAGUGGAAUUCCGAGUGUAGAGGUGAAAUUCGUAGAUAUUCGGAAGAACACCAGUGGCGAAGGCGACUCACUGGACACAUAUUGACGCUGAGGUGCGAAAGCGUGGGGAGCAAACAGG